AAUGGAGGAAACUCUGAACCAGCCAUGCCGCGUGCGGGAUGAAGGUCUUACAGAUCGUAAACCGCUUUUGAUAGGGGAUAAAAGUUUGCAUUAAGCAGAAAUUGAAGGUACCUAUCGAAUAAGCACCGGCUAACUCCGUGCCAGCAGCCGCGGUAAUACGGAGGGUGCAAGCGUUAUCCGGAUUUACUGGGUUUAAAGGGUGCGUAGGUGGCAUUAUAAGUCAGUGGUGAAAGGUCGUAGCUUAACUACGGAUGUGCCAAUGAUACUGUAAAGCUAGAGUUUACACGAGGUACUUGGAAUGCGUCAUGUAGCGGUGAAAUGCAUAGAGAUGACGUAGAACACCAAAAGCGAAGGCAGAGUACCAGUGUUAGACUGACACUGAGGCACGAAAGUGUGGGUAGCGAA
rnacentral:rRNA from 1 species